UCCCUGGAGUUGGAAGAGUGAUGCAUUUGGUCUCCAUAAAGGUGGGGGGUUUGGGAAAGACAGAUGAAAGUGAURCAGAGCCUCAGGGCACUGAUUUUCAUGAACAAUCUCCCCAGCUGUUAGCCCAGGUCCAGAGCCAUUUCCUUUCAGAAAAUACAUUUCUACCAACAACAUUUCAGAGUCCGGAAGGAAAUAUUUGAAAGUUACCUUUGGCAUUUCAAGGCUAGCACAAUUUCCACCAAGCUUCCUUUGAACUUCUAGAUAAAAUAUUAACUCCUGGACGAGGUACAGAGGCCCUGGCAAGCUGUCAACCUGCAACACAAUUAAGGAGACAGUCUCUGGUGAGAUAGCAUCCAGUACUUUAAAAACCAUCUGUGAUUAAUUUCACUUGACUGACAUACAGGAAAAAAAAUGAAGAUAUAGAGGUGGCAUCUCAGGGAGCUGGGCCCAUAUCUGCAGAGAUUGGGAAAAAGCUGCAUGUGAUUAAGAGGCACCAUUGAAAGUCUGGCCCCCUUCACUGCACUCUUUCAUUCCUCCUGGAGCAAGCAAGGCCACAUCCUUCCGCGGGGAGAGGGAACAAAGGCCACCUCCUUGCCUGUGCUCUGAGUUGGCUGGAUGUGAAAAACCUCCAGUUCAAGGGAGACACAGGAAAGCCGCUCCUUGUAGUGGACCUGGAGACACAACUUCCAAAGAAAGAGCUGGGAUCACUUGACUGCAGUGAUUGGAAAGAAGUCAUCAGUGACUGGAAAGAAUGCCAUCCCAGUGGCAUGACCUGUGUGCAGACAUGGCCAGCAGUAGCUCCUAUGCUGACUCCUCCAUACACUGCUGUUUGAUGCUCUCAGAGGUUGAAAAUUAUUUCCCUGUUUCCUGAAAGGGAGACACUGAAACAUCAGCUUCUAAACUAAUGUACUAUAUUGCUUUUUCCAGGACUGUGAUGCUCAGGAUUUCUUGUAGAGCACUAGAAGAUGUCUGCCUGUCUGUCAUURUCUCCAUGUACUGUUCUGU